rnacentral:miRNA from 1 species
AGGUCCACCUCUGCUUAAGUUGAU